rnacentral:rRNA from 1 species
CCUACGGGUGGCAGCAGUAGGGAAUCUUUCACAAUGGGCGAAAGCCUGAUGGAGCAACGCCGCGUGCAGGAUGAAGGCCUUCGGGUUGUAAACUGCUUUUAUAAGCGAGAAAUAUGAUGGUAACUGAUUAAUAAGGAUCGGCUAACUACGUGCCAGCAGCCGCGGUCAUACGUAGGAUCCGAGCAUUAUCCGGAGUUACUGGGUGUAAAGAGUUGCGUAGGUGGCAUACAAAGUAGCUAGUGAAAGCUGGGGGCCUAACCAGUCAGACUAUUAGCGAAACUGUUAAGCGUGAGACCGUUAGGGGUAACUGGAAUUUCUAGUGUAGGGGUGAAAGCCGUAGAUAUUAGGAGGAACACCAGUGGCGUAGGCAGGUUGCUGGGACGGUUCUGACACUAAGGCUCGAAAGCGUAGGGAGCAAACGGGAUUAGAUACCCUUGUAGUC